GCUUAUGCAAGUAUGAUGUACAGCUAGACAAAUAAAGUUGUUUUCCAUACACAAUAUGGAAAUUCCAGUGUUCGAUGGUGAAGGAUAUGUGUUCACAGUAUAUUCGAAACAAGGUUGUGGGAUGUGGGAUAUGGAAAUUGGAAAGAAGAUGCCGUCCCCCUUUAACUGAGGAAGGAAUAUCAGAUAGCAGGCAAGAAGUAGUUAGCGAGAAAGAAAGUAGUCAGUUAGGGAGUACAGGUGGAAGGGACGGCAUGAGACAGACGGCAGAGAACGGGUAGGGUGCUUGUAUGUUUAACAAAAAUGAUGAUGAAAAGUUGGUGGAUGCACGACUAGAAGCUGGGAUACAUGCUUGAACGGUUUUUUGGUUUCCAUUUGUUUAUCUGUUUUGCAUUUAUUUCGAUAUGUAAUUAGUUGCUGGUUUGGAUUAUACAUGUAAAUAAAAAAGGUGUAAGGAUAAUCUUUCAAAAAGAGAAGUUUGUAUAAGAAAUGGUUAAGCCGUUUUUAUUUUUUUUAUUUUUUUUAAUGCACCUCUUGCACUGCGUAUGUUUUUUUGCAACAAUCGAUCCCGAUAACAUUGCCAAGGCCGCUAACCUACGAUCAUACUUUCCAAUAGGCAAGAGCGAGUCCAUAGUUGCUGGAACUAGGGUUCCGCAUCACGGAAUAACGGAGCUGGGCGAAAAAAAAAGGAACAGGUUGCAAAAAGGCACUAUACAUUUGAUGUGUAACAAAGUAAUAUUCGAAACAGUCUAUUUCACCAAUAACAGUUUAGCGGUCUAACGGUUUUUUUAAAGGAUGACUAGUUUUUUACAGCAUUCAGUAAAUUAGCGAUAUAACAUUACUGCGCCCGUCAUCCUUAAUUAAGAUAGGAAGGCCGUUGGAGAUUGCAAUAAAGUAAUGGGCCUCCAAGCAAUUGAGGAGUGUGAUAAAUAUGAGAAAUU